CAGCCCCCCUCCACCCCCCACCCCGGCACACCAGCAGCCACUGAUGCUGUUCGUAUUUCACCAGAAAGAAUCUUGCUGCUUCUCUGCCUCCUCAAGAAGGACAAUGUCCGAAAUGUCCUAAAAAUUCUCAGUAGCGGCCUUCAGAUAGGGGAUGGUUCACCUUCUCUGUCCAGCCCUGCAGCGCUUCCUUUCCCGGCUUGUAUCAUCAGCUUUCCAACACCCAGCAGAGUCGGGGGGACUGCCUGUUUCUUUCUACAGCCUUAAUUGUCCUGUCGGUCUGUGGGACCCCAGGAGGAAGAAAGGCCGUUCCCGAAACAGUGGCAGUGAAAGCCAGCACAGAUCAGAGGCAUGCGAGGCCACCUGAGUGUAGGAGGACGCACCACAUCGCUGCGGGUAAUCCCUGCACAAGGGUCUGUCCAGCAGGAAGGAUAUUUUCUACUUCUAUUUGCUGGAGACACAAUCAAGUGCACUCAGAGCAGCGGUCUGUGCCGUUGAUCUCAAACCCGCCCUGCUGCUGCUGAGUGCACGUGAAGAAGGACAACAGUUUAUUUACAAGAUGUAAAGAAAAACGUUCACUGGCUAAUAAAGCAUUUCGCUCAAUUUCCAGCGUGCUGUAUUAACUUAGGAAUGCCAUUGUAUAUUGAGAAGUUAUGCCCUCUCCGUUGUUUCCUGCAGUCUUUACUUCAGAGACGUGCACAAUGGCAGCCCCCCCGCCCCACACCACAGAUAAUCUUUCUUCUUCAGCGC
rnacentral:lncRNA from 1 species